GCAAACUUGGUCAUUUAGAGGAAGUAAAAGUCGUAACAAGGUUUCCGUAGGUGAACCUGCGGAAGGAUCAUUAUUGAAUAUACCUGAUGGGUUGUAGCUGGCUUUUCGGAGCAUGUGCACGCCUGUCUUGUUGUUAUUCAUCCACCUGUGCACUGUUUGUAGUCUUCCUGGGGAUUGUGAGUGGCUGACUAUCAGGAAAUCUUCCUGGAUAUGAGGAAUGCUUGCACUUGUGCAGCUAUCUUCAAAUGGUCGCUACAUUUCCUGGAGGUCUAUGUUUUCAUAUACCACAUAGUAUGUUAUAGAAUGUAUUGAAUGGGCUUUUGUGCCUAUAAAUUAUCUAUACAACUUUCAGCAACGGAUCUCUUGGCUCUCGCAUCGAUGAAGAACGCAGC
rnacentral:misc_RNA from 1 species